rnacentral:rRNA from 2 species
CGGAGGAAAAGAAACUAACAAGGAUUCCCCUAGUAGCGGCGAGCGAAGCGGGAACAGCCCGGUGUGAAAAUCUCUUCGGAGAAUUGUAUUCGAGUGUCCUUGGGUGGUCAGUGCGGGCAAGUCGCUUGGAAUGGCGCGCCAUGGAGGGUGAGAGCCCCGUCCAUCCCGCACAGGAUCCAUCCGCACAAGGGCGCUUCAACCGAGUCGGGUAGCUUGGGAAUGCUGCUCUAAUUGGUGGUAAAUCUCAUCAAAGGCUAAAUAGUGGUGGGAGACCGAUAGCGAACAAGUACCGUGAGGGAAAGAUGGAAAGUACUUUGAAAAGAGAGUGAAAAGAACUUGAAACCGUCACGGGGGAAGCGAAUUGCGUGAGUGGUGGUGCCGCUUGUUCAGCGCCUCUGGCGUGCAUUCUGGCGGCACCUUGUCGUCGUGGCUGGCUGGCGCGUGAUUUUGACGCGUCGGCUGGUGAGGGCUCCCGUUUUUUCGGUGAGGACGACGACAAAAUGACGCAAUACGACCCGUCUUGAAACACGGACCAAGGAGUCUAGCACGGCUGCGAGUCGAAGGGUGUAAAACCCAAGGGCGCAGUGAAAGCGAAAUUAUAAGCAAGUUGGGGAGGCGUUGCGUUUUUAACAAAAUGUCCUACCUUGAGCACUUGUGCUGGGACCCGAAAGAUGGUGAACUAUGCCGGAGUAGGGCAAAGCCAGAGGAAACUCUGGUGGAGGCUCGUAGCGAUGCUGACGUGCAAAUCGCUCGUCGAACUUGGGUAUAGGGGCGAAAGACUAAUCGAACUAUCUAGUAGCUGGUUCCCUCCGAAGUUUCUCUCAGGAUAGCGGGCCGACAUAUGUUGUUUUGUGCGGUAAAGCGAAUGAUUAGUGCAUUUGGGGUCCGAAGGACUUCAGGCGAUUCUCAAACUUUAAAUGCGCAAGGGGGUGGCUGCUUAAUUGAGCCUACUCUUCGAAAAACGUCGGCCCUGUGGGCCACUUUUGGUAAGCAGAACUGGCGAUAAGGGAUGAACCUUAAGCGCGGUUAAGGCGCCGCAUUGCCCGCUUAUAGACCCCACAAAAGGUGUUGAUUCAUUUAGACAGCAGGACGGUGGCCAUGGAAGUCGGAAUCCGCUAAGGAGUGUGUAACAACUCACCUGCCGAAUGAAUUAGCCCUGAAAAUGGAUGGCGCUGAAGCGGGCAGCCGACACCGCGCCGUUCCGGCGAGACGAUGCCGGGAUGAGUAGGAGGGCGUGGCGGUCAGUGACGCAGGCGAGGGUGCAGACCCCGCUGAAACGGCCGCUAGUGCAGAUCUUGGUGGUAGUAGCAAAUAUUCAAGCGAGAUCCUUGAAGGGCGAAGCGGGGAAGGGUUCCACGCAAACAUUGAUUGGGCGUGGGUGAGUCGUUCCUAAGCCGAGUGGCAAUUGCUAAGUAGCGGCGAAAGGGAAGCGGGUUAAAAUUCCCGCACACGGAUAUGGAGGCGGCGACGCAAGCAGAGCUGAAUACGCUGGCGAGGGCGCCGGGCAGAGUUGUCUUUUCUGUUUGACCGGCAUCGCGCAGUGUGGAAUCCGCUUAUCGGGAGAAACACGCGCGGGGAGGGGCAGAGCGUCAGGUCUUUUCUGGCGUCCGGCUCGCCCUCGACGGCCCCUGAAAAUUCAGCCGCGAACUUAAUUUCAUGCUGUGACGUACCGAUAACCGCAUCAGGUCCCCAAGGUGAACAGCCUCUGCUCAAUAUGAACAAUGCAGGUAAGGGAAGUCGGCAAAAUAGACCCGUAACUUUGGGAAAAGGGUUGGCUCUAGUGGAGCGGGGGUUUUCAAAGGGUGCUCACCUGUGCUCGUCGCAGGGCGAUCGUGGCUAGCUUUCGCUGGAAACUUUUGCUCAGCGCCUUGCGCGGGGGACGCUACUCGCCCUCAGCAUGCUCCAGACUAGAACUGCAACGGGCAAAGGGAAUCCGACUGUUUAAUUAAAACAAAGCAUUGCGAAGGCCGUGGCCGGUGAUGACGCAAUGUGAUUUCUGCC